rnacentral:rRNA from 1 species
AUUGAACGCUGGCGGCAUGCUUUACACAUGCAAGUCGAACGGUAACAGGCCGCAAGGUGCUGACGAGUGGCGAACGGGUGAGUAAUGCAUCGGAACGUGCCCAGUCGUGGGGGAUAACUAUCCGAAAGGAUAGCUAAUACCGCAUACGAUCUGCGGAUGAAAGCGGGGGACCUUCGGGCCUCGCGCGAUUGGAGCGGCCGAUGUCAGAUUAGGUAGUUGGUGGGGUAAAGGCGCACCAAGCCAACGAUCUGUAGCUGGUCUGAGAGGUCGACCAGCCACACUGGGACUGAGACACGGCCCAGACUCCUACGGGAGGCAGCAGUGGGGAAUUUUGGACAAUGGGCGCAAGCCUGAUCCAGCAAUGCCGCGUGCAGGAAGAAGGCCUUCGGGUUGUAAACUGCUUUUGUACGGAACGAAACGGCUCUGGUUAAUACCUGGGGCUAAUGACGGUACCGUAAGAAUAAGCACCGGCUAACUACGUGCCAGCAGCCGCCGUAA